AGAAUCAACGCUGGCGGCGUGCCUAACACAUGCAAGUCGAACGCGAAAGUCCCGCAAGGGAUAAGUAGAGUGGCAAACGGGUGAGUAACACGUGGGUGACCUGCCUUCGAGUGGGGGAUAACGUCCCGAAAGGGACGCUAAUACCGCAUAACAUCCUGCUUUUGAACAGGUGGAGAUCAAAGCUGGGGACCCGCAAGGGCCUGGCGCUUGAAGAGGGGCCCGCGUCUGAUUAGCUAGUUGGUGGGUAACGGCUCACCAAGGCAACGAUCAGUA
rnacentral:rRNA from 1 species